rnacentral:rRNA from 1 species
UACGGGGGGGCAAGCGUUGUUCGGAAUUACUGGGCGUAAAGGGCUCGUAGGCGGCCAACUAAGUCAGACGUGAAAUCCCUCGGCUUAACCGGGGAACUGCGUCUGAUACUGGAUGGCUUGAGGUUGGGAGAGGGAUGCGGAAUUCCAGGUGUAGCGGUGAAAUGCGUAGAUAUCUGGAGGAACACCGGUGGCGAAGGCGGCAUCCUGGACCAAUUCUGACGCUGAGGAGCGAAAGCCAGGGGAGCAAAGCGGG